rnacentral:rRNA from 1 species
AUGAGGAUGAGGACGAGGAGACCAAAGGCGGGAUGCGAACCUGGGAAAGUUGCAGUUGUUGAUCUUCUUCUCGCCGUACUUCCUCCAUUGGUGGCCGUCGUUGUGCGGCGCAAAGUUGUUGUUCUAGUGCACUGGUCUCAUGGAGCCUUACCACGACGCCUCUCCGACGGUUUAGUACAACAAGUUUGGCCCGGCUCCGGUGAGGGAGGGAUGAUGACGAUGGCGCGCCAUUGGCUCAUGCCGGUGCUUGUAGUCGUCGCUAGGUGUUCUACGAACAUGGAUGUAAUCUUUAUUAUUUCUAUGCCCUCGGUACUGCCAUGGCAUGAUGAGUACUCCCUUCGUCCUUGA